UACAAGUUGUUUCCAUAAUAUCUAUCUCUUGAUUACAUUUAUUAUUCUUAUCAAAAGAAGCCAUACUGGAUAGAUGACACCAUUCUUGAACAAAAAUUCAUGGAAAUAUCCAUUGUUCUGUUAUCUCACAAUCUUUAUUUAGUCCUUGUUUGAUUUUGAUUAUUCGAGAAUCACUUCUAUCUCACACUCAUCUUUAACACUUUUUCCCCCCCAAAAAAAAGAAUCACAUUUCUCCUUAACUUUUUCCUACUUUCAAUUACACAUUUAAAAAAAAAAAAAAAAACUCCUCUUAGUAUCACUUCUCAAUUUUUUUUAUUGAACACACCAAAAAAGGCAUUCUCCAUAAUUACGAAUUGAUAGCAAACUGGUGCAUGAUACGCUACCUCCGUUGAAGGUGACAGUUCUGUAAUGUUUUCGGGAUUGUUGAAGGUAACAAUUCUAGCAAGGAGCCUUUUGAUCAUGAAUUUUGUGUGGUUUCUAUUACAGAGUGUGCUUCGACUCUGUUUGGUCAACAGUAAUUCUUAGGUGAAAUUUUGGGAACCCAGGAGUAGGUUUCAAGUGUCGAUUGUGGACGCUAUGCAGAGGAAAAUAUUUUUGUGGAAUGGAGAGUUUUGGUUCUGGUUGAAGAGUUCAGUUUAUUUCGUUACAGUUGAUUUAUUUUUCAAGUGGGGAGAUUUUGGAGUUUUGUUCGUUGCAGUGGAAUUCAUGUCAAGGUGGAGAUUGUUACAAUUUGGGUGUAACCCAAAUUUCUUAUUGAAAUAAUUGUAGAGUUCCAAUUGAAGUACAUAUUAAGAGGAAUUCUAAAUGGAAUGCUAUUGAGGAAUCCUAUUCAAGUUUAAUUGACAAAUUCUAGUUAAAAUUCUAUUUAGAAGCUAUUGGAAGAUGAAAUUUGUUUUGGACUUGAUGAGACCAAAUAAGGAAAUUUUUGGCAUUUUGUUUCAUAUACAACUCUACUUCUAUGGAUUAAUUUUUCCCUAUAAAUACUAGACUCUUUUUUCUAGAUUUAUGAAGUUUCAUUGUUGUAGUUGUAUUCUCUCC
rnacentral:lncRNA from 1 species